rnacentral:rRNA from 1 species
ACUGACGCUGAGGCACGAAAGCGUGGGUAUCAAACAGGAUUAGAUACCCUGGUAGUCCACGCAGUAAACGAUGAAUACUGUCUGUUAACGAUAUAGUGUUAGUGGAUAAGCGAAAGUGUUAAGUAUUCCACCUGGGGAGUACGCCGGCAACGGUGAAACUCAAAGGAAUUGACGGGGGCCCGCACAAGCGGAGGAACAUGUGGUUUAAUUCGAUGAUACGCGAGGAACCUUACCCGGGCUUGAAAGUUAGUGAAGGAUGAUGAAAGUUGUCCGGCUCGCAAGAGACACGAAACUAGGUGCUGCAUGGUUGUCGUCAGCUCGUGCCGUGAGGUGUCGGCUUAAGUGCCAUAACGAGCGCAACCCCUGCUGUCAGUUGCCAUCAGGUAAUGCUGGGUACUCUGUCGGGACUGCUACUGUAAGGUAGAGGAGGGUGGGGAUGACGUCAAAUCAGCACGGCCCUUACGUCCGGGGCGACACACGUGUUACAAUGGGUGGUACAGAGGGUAGCUACUGGGCGACCAGAUGCCAAUCUCCUAAAACCAUCCUCAGUUCGGAUCGGAGUCUGCAACUCGACUCCGUGAAGCUGGAUUCGCUAGUAAU